CCUACGGGAGGCAGCAGUCGAGAAUCAUUCACAAUGGGGGAAACCCUGAUGGUGCGACGCCGCGUGGGGGAAUGAAGGUCUUCGGAUUGUAAACCCCUGUCAUGUGGGAGCAAAUUAAAAAGAUAGUACCACAAUAGGAAGAGACUGCUAACUCUGUGCCAGCAGCCGCGGUAAUACAGAGGUCUCAAGCGUUGUUCGGAAUCACUGGGCGUAAAGCGUGCGUAGGCUGUUUCGUAAGUCGUGUGUGAAAGGCGCGGGCUCAACCCGCGGACGGCACAUGAUACUGCGAGACUAGAGUAAGGGAGGGGGAACCGGAAUUCUCGGUGUAGCAGUGAAAUGCGUAGAUAUCGGGAGGAACACUCGUGGCGAAGGCGGGUUCCUGGACAUUAACUGACGCUGAGGCACGAAGGCCAGGGGAGCGAAAGGGAUUAGAUACCCUGGUAGUC
rnacentral:rRNA from 1 species